AAUAGAUACCCAGGUAGUCCACGCCGUAAACGAUGAAUACUAGGUGUCGGAGGGUACCACCUUCGGUGCCGCAGCAAACGCAAUAAGUAUUCCGCCUGGGGAGUACGGUCGCAAGAUUAAAACUCAAAGGAAUUGACGGGGGACCCGCACAAGCAGCGGAGCAUGUGGUUUAAUUCGAAGCAACGCGAAGAACCUUACCUAGACUUGACAUCUCCUGAAUUACUCGUAAUGGAGGAAGCCCUUCGGGGCAGGAAGACAGGUGGUGCAUGGUUGUCGUCAGCUCGUGUCGUGAGAUGUUGGGUUAAGUCCCGCAACGAGCGCAACCCUUGUUGUUAGUUGCUACCAUUAAGUUGAGCACUCUAACGAGACUGCCGCGGUUAACGCGGAGGAAGGUGGGGAUGACGUCAAAUCAUCAUGCCCCUUAUGUCUAGGGCUACACACGUGCUACAAUGGCCGGUACAGAAAGAUGCAAACCCGGUGAGGGGGAGCUAAACUCAAAAGCCGGUCCCAGUUCGGAUUGUAGGCUGAAACUCGCCUACAUGAAGUUGGU
rnacentral:rRNA from 1 species